CUACAGUGUUCCUUUAAUGAAGUUUUUUCUAAAACAUCUAAAAAUACAUCUUACAAAAACUUACUCAGUUAUGCUCGCAUUUAACUUCUAAAAAUCCAUAAAAAUCUUGUAGCUCUCCCAGGAAGCCUUACGGUGGCUAGUAGUAAUUCUGCAUUGCAUCAGUCUUUCUGGACAGGGUAUUGCAGUCUCUUGUAGUCCUCGUGUCCUGAUCCUUCAUUUUAGACAAUACUGUUGUACUG